rnacentral:misc_RNA from 1 species
UUGAUUUGUUUUGUUUUGUACUCUGACGAGGGUCUGAGCAGGUUUGUGUUCUCCUCCGGCGGGCGCUCUCCCGGCGAGAGCCGGGCGGGCCCCGGUGAAGGGGUCCGGCCCGCCGAAGCAACGAUAUUGUUAAACAACAAGGGGUGGGAGGUCGGGCGUCCCGGGGGACACCCAAUCACUGUAAUGAUCCUUCCGCAGGUUCACCUACGGAAA